rnacentral:rRNA from 1 species
AAUAGAUACCCAGGUAGUCCAUGCCGUAAACGUUGGGAACUAGAUGUAGGGCCUGUUCCACGGGUUCUGUGUCGUAGCUAACGCAUUAAGUUCCCCGCCUGGGGAGUACGGCCGCAAGGCUAAAACUCAAAGGAAUUGACGGGGGCCCGCACAAGCGGCGGAGCAUGCGGAUUAAUUCGAUGCAACGCGAAGAACCUUACCAAGGCUUGACAUAUAGAAGAACACUGCAGAGAUGCAGGACUCUUUGGACACUUCUAUACAGGUGGUGCAUGGUUGUCGUCAGCUCGUGUCGUGAGAUGUUCGGUUAAGUCCGGCAACGAGCGCAACCCUCGUCCUAUGUUGCCAGCACGUAAUGGUGGGAACUCAUGGGAUACUGCCGUGGUCAACACGGAGGAAGGUGGGGAUGACGUCAAAUCAUCAUGCCCCUUAUGUCUUGGGCUUCACGCAUGCUACAAUGGCCGGUACAAAGGGCUGCGAUACCGCAAGGUGGAGCGAAUCCCAAAAGCCGGUCUCGAGUUCGGAUUGGGGUC